AAUAUAUAUUUUGAGACAAACAUGUCACAAUGGUGCAAUUUCUUUCUUUAUUAUAUCACUCAAAAAAGACUGCAGACGGUUAAUGCGACCAAUACGUGUCACUACAAUAAAGUUGUGAGUAUGCACAAAUGUGUAAUGUUAUAUUUUUGUUCGUGUGCUUUAAGCGUAAUUUAAGUAAUAUUUUUAUUCUACUCGUCAUGCUUUCCGUCGUUUACUGCUCUAUCAUAAACAUGCCUAACAUUAACAAGCCGAUGUACUUUGACCCGCCGCCCGGCAGCAGAAUCGAGUACCUGAUGACCGAAGACGAUAUGCAUUCAGAUCCAAAUAAUUCGGACGAGUAUAUUUUAUCAUAAAAACGUAACACCGUACAGCUCGGGUGUACAAUACGCAAUUAAUGAAACACGUUGUUAUUAUUUUGGUCGCUGCUGAUGUUUUUAUUAUAGUGUUGCAAUUUCUUCCCUCU